UUAAGGCAACCAUGCCAUGCCUGAUGCAUGCAUGCCGCGUGAGUGAAAGAACGCCUUCGGGUUGUAAAGCACUUUCAGAUGUGAGGAAAGGAUAGUAUGUUAUACAUGCUAGCUGUGACUUUAACAACAGAGGAAGCACCGUAUAACUCCGGGCCGGCAGGCGCGGUAAUACGGAGGGUGCGAGCGUUAAUCGGAAUUACUGGGCGUAAAGCGCACGCAGGCGGUCUGUUAAGCUAGAUGUGAAAGCCCCGCGCUCAACGUGGGAGGGUCAUUUAGAACUGGCAGACUAGAGUCUUGGAGAGGGGAGUGGAAUUCCAGGUGUAGCGGUGAAAUGCGUAGAGAUCUGGAGGAACAUCAAUGGCGAAGGCAACUCCCUGGCCAAAGACUGACGCUCAUGUGCGAAAGUGUGGGUAGCGAACAGGAUUAGAUACCCUGGUAGUCCACACCGUAAACGCUGUCUACUAGCUGUUUGUGGAUUUAAUCCGCGAGUAGCGAAGCUAACGCCAUAAGUAGACCGCCUGGGGAGUACGGCCGCAAGGUUAAAACUCAAAUGAAUUGACGGGGCCCCAAAAACCGUUGAACAUGUGGUUUAAUUCUCCAC
rnacentral:rRNA from 1 species